AUCUCUCACUUUUUCCCUUACAAAAGGGACUUCACCUUUCCCUGUGCUUAUUAUUCUCAUUAGCUGUCUUUCUCUAGAAAAUAUGGAGGAAAAAGAGAAGCUUUCAGAGAAGGAGAAAGCAAAGCACAGGCUUCCACAUCCACAGGGUCACCUACUGAUGCAUGGGAGUAUGAUCAAGGGCAAGCGAGUACUGUCAAGGAAUAAAAUUAUUGAUGAAUUAUUUCAAUUUGGUGCCUGUAACUCCUGUGUGACAGUGGCUUGUUCAUCUUAAUUGGGUGCUAUCCUACCUGAGCUUUUUUUUCACUCUUUUUUUUUUUUUUUCUGCCCUUCAUUCUUACUUCUUUCGAUUUCUUUUUCUUCUUCUUUUCUUAUCUUCUUGACCUUGUAAGACCUUUUCUUGACCUUGUAAGACCCCGUUCGGUGUUCCUUAUCUUUGUUUUUCUCUCCGCUUCAGACUCUAUAUCAGAACUUUCUGAUAUAGAGUUUGCGUAUUCUUCUACCCCAUUCCCGCCCAACUCUUCUUCUCCUUCCUUGUCUAUCCCUCCUGAGCUGUUUGAAUUAGCCUAGCCUAGCUAUAGCUAGCUAGCAUCUCUCCUCAAAAUUGUUCUGAUCACAUGCCAGAAACGACCACCUGAUCAACUCCCAUUCUGGGGUUCUGCCCCCUUUUUUAUUCCCCUUCCUUAACAUGUAAACAUUUAGGAAGAACUGCAGUGGUGAAAUCUAUGUUUGAGGUUGAGUUUGUAACAGUGGUUGAAGCAGUAUCAAAAAAUAAAAUAAAAUUACAUAGCUAUGUACUGCUCAGAGUUGUUUUUUUGUACUUUUAUCAACAGUAAAAGCUUUCACUUUCUUAUUCUGUUAAGGCCAUCAAUGUCAAUUGUUAUUAUAUGUGCAGAAAUAUGCUUUGCAGGCAUCAGUUUUCGUUGUUUUAUAUGUUGUUGGGCUGAGUAGCAAGAGAAUAAGUAUUCUCUCAGAUCUGCUUGUGUGGAAGAGUUCUCCUCGUGACUGCUCUUAUGUACAAUAACAUAUCCACUGUAUUAUUGGAGUUCUC